AGAUCGGGGCUUGAGAUUUUCUUCGGGCGGGGAGCGGCUCGUGACCAGGUUUUGAUCCCUAAGCUCGAGAUUGUUGCUUCAGUGAUGUGUCUAUGAGAUAGUUGGUACAUGUUGAUGGUUGUGUGAACUAUAUCCAUUAAUGUAAGCAUCAAUAUAUUAUGUCAGACGAGAAGCUACUGAGACUAGCUAGAACUUUGAUUCCUUGCUUUGGUUUGGAAUCCUGAAUGGAGCUUCAUCCCUCGUUUUUGAUCCUGCAAGAGAAGAAGGAAACUGUUUUUUAAAAUUAUCUUUAUGUUUGUUGUUUGAAGAGGAUUUUCUGUGUUCAGAUUUCCAUAUUGUGGUCAAGAGGGAGAGAUGUGGGAUUUGUUUGUAAAGAACAGAGACUAUGCGGGGCAGUGCUCAGGAUAAUUCACUUCAUGAUUUCUUUUCCCUUU